GCAGCAGUGGGAAUAUUGCACAAUGGCCGCAAGCCUGAUGCAGCGACGCGNCGUGAGGGAUGACGCNUUCGAGNNUGUAAACUUCUGUUAGCAUCGAGAAAGCGAAAGUGACGGUAGGUGCAGAGAAAGCCCCGGCUAACUACGUGCCAGCAGCCGCGGUAAUACGUAGGGCGCGAGCGUUUUCCGGAAUUAUUUGGGCGUAAAGAGCUUGUAGGCGGUUGGUCGCGUCUGCUGUGAAAGGCUGGGGCUUAACCCUGGUUUUGCAGUGGGUACGGGCUAACUAGAGUGCAGUAGGGGAGACUGGAAUUCCUGGUGUAGCGGUGGAAUGCGCAGAUAUCAGGAGGAACACCGAUGGCGAAGGCAGGUCUCUGGGCUGUAACUGACGCUGAGAAGCGAAAGCAUGGGGAGCGAACAGGAUUAGAUACCCUGGUAGUCCAUGCCGUAAACGUUGGGCACUAGGUGUGGGGGACAUUCCACGUUUUCCGCGCCGUAGCUAACGCAUUAAGUGCCCCGCCUGGGGAGUACGGCCGCAAGGCUAAAACUCAAAGAAAUUGACGGGGGCCCGCACAAGCGGCGGAGCAUGCGGAUUAAUUCGAUGCAACGCGAAGAACCUUACCAAGGCUUGACAUAUACUGGACUGCGUCAGAGAUGGCGUUUCCCUUCGGGGCUGGUAUACAGGUGGUGCAUGGUUGUCGUCAGCUCGUGUCGUGAGAUGUUGGGUUAAGUCCCGCAACGAGCGCAACCCUCGUUCUAUGUUGCCAGCACGUGAUGGUGGGGACUCAUAGGAGACUGCCGGGGUCAACUCGGAGGAAGGUGGGGAUGACGUCAAAUCAUCAUGCCCCUUAUGUCUUGGGCUUCACGCAUGCUACAAUGGCCGGUACAGAGGGUUGCGAUACUGUGAGGUGGAGCUAAUCCCUAAAAGCCGGUCUCAAGUUCGGAUUGGGGUCUGCGAACUCGACCCCAUGAAAGUCGGAGUCGCUAGUAAUCGCGGAUCAGCAAACGCUGCGGUAAAUACGUUUCCCGGGCU
rnacentral:rRNA from 1 species